GCUCUAGUGGCGCAAUGGUAGCGCGCAAGACUUCUAAUAUAGCUGAUAUCUUGAGGCUCUGGGUUCGAGCCCCAGCUAGAGUG